CUACCUCGCCUACACCGAGAAAAUACCUGCGCGAAUCAGGUCAUUUUGA
rnacentral:tRNA from 1 species